CCUACGGGAGGCAGCAGUGGGGAAUAUUGCACAAUGGGGGAAACCCUGAUGCAGCGACGCCGCGUGAGUGAAGAAGUAUUUCGGUAUGUAAAGCUCUAUCAGCAGGGAAGAAAAUGACGGUACCUGAUUAAGAAGCCCCGGCUAACUACGUGCCAGCAGCCGCGGUAAUACGUAGGGGGCAAGCGUUAUCCGGAUUUACUGGGUGUAAAGGGAGCGUAGACGGCAGCACAAGUCUGGAGUGAAAUCCCGGGGCUUAACCCCGGAACUGCUUUGGAAACUGUGCGGCUGGAGUGCAGGAGGGGUAAGCGGAAUUCCUAGUGUAGCGGUGAAAUGCGUAGAUAUUAGGAGGAACACCGGUGCGAAGGCGGCUUACUGGACUGUAACUGACGUUGAGGCUCGAAAGCGUGGGGAGCAAACAGGAUUAGAUACCCCUGUAGUC
rnacentral:rRNA from 1 species